UAUCUUUUUAGUACUAAAAAGUAUAAGUGACUUCCAAUCACCUGGUCUUGGUUAAAGCCCAAGAAAAGAUAA
rnacentral:tRNA from 1 species